rnacentral:rRNA from 1 species
GACGAACGCUGGCGGCGUGCUUAACACAUGCAAGUCGAACGGAAAGGCCCUGCUUUUGUGGGGUGCUCGAGUGGCGAACGGGUGAGUAACACGUGAGUAACCUGCCCUUGACUUUGGGAUAACUUCAGGAAACUGGGGCUAAUACCGGAUAGGAGCUCCUGCUGCAUGGUGGGGGUUGGAAAGUUUCGGCGGUUGGGGAUGGACUCGCGGCUUAUCAGCUUGUUGGUGGGGUAGUGGCUUACCAAGGCUUUGACGGGUAGCCGGCCUGAGAGGGUGACCGGCCACAUUAGGACUGAGAUGCGACACAGCCUCGAACGGGAGGCAGCGGUGGAGAGUAGUGCACAGUAGGCUGAAGCCUGAUGCAGCAACGCCGCGUGCGGGAAGACAUCCUUCGGGUUGUAAACCGCUUUCGCCUGUGACGAAGCGUGAGUGACGGUAAUGGGUAAAGAAGCACCGGCUAACUACGUG